GCGGAGCAGCGGCCGCCGUGUCCAGGCAACUGGCGUGUCCAGGGAAGCGCCGGGAAGCGCGCACACACCGAUGCUGCCCAGUGCCCAUGGCUUUCAGGGAUGUGAAUGCAAGGAGACAUAUUGGACUCCAGCAACUCUCAUCCUUGGCAUCGACUGGAAGAGCAUUUCUGGGGCCAAUGAAAUCUCAUAAAUUCAUUGUGGAUGAAACCACCAACCAAAGCACAUUGAUUUGUUCUGCUGUUAGACUGAUUGAAAGUUUGGAUUUGACUAGUGCUGCUGGACAGCUUCUUAAUGAAACCAUUCAGGCACAGAACAAGGAGUUUAAGACUGGGAUGAGUACCCUGUUGUUCCUCGUUGGUGCGUGGAGCAGUGCCGUGGUGGAGUGCCUCCAGCAGAAUGUUCCUGUUUCAGCAAUAGUGUCUGUGAUGUCUGAGGGGUUGAACUCUUGCUGUGAGAGAGUCCAGUGUCUCCAAAUAUCAAUACAUGAUGUAAAGAAAGAGCUGUGUUCUAGCAGAGUUAGGCCCAACGCUUUUGAAUGCAAAGCUUGCCAAGUUGGAUGUGACAGCCUUCUAAAUCCUCAGGAUUUGCUGUAUUUUCAGAAAUGUAUUUCUGAACCAGAAGUAAUUUCAAUAAGUUGUUGUUCCCAUCAAGGAGAUGAUUGUCAUUUUAACAAGGGCUUGGUUUCACCCUUGGUUGGCUUUGGUUCAGCAGCUUCUCUUGUCAAACCAGCGGGUGACAGAAGUUCAUCUGUGAUUCCUGGAAGUGGUGUUAUCGCAUCCAGCUGUAUCAAACAGAAGUUAACCCACAGCAGACACUUCAGCACUUUAGGAAAAAGCCAUUUUUCAGGUCAACAAGGUAAUUUUCAGGAAUACCUUUUGAAACCAUCGGCAGAUCCAUGUGAAUGCUCUGAUUUAGGACACCUGGCAAUGGCUCUGAGUCAUGGAAAUCAGGCUGGUGUGAAACUGCUCCAGAGCAUUGUUGAGUAUCAGCAAGAGAGAGAAGAGUGCAGGGGCUCUUCCCAGCUUAAUAUCACAGAGAUUGUGACAUGCUCUUUGCUGGGCCUGCCUGAAAGCUGUUCCUGUGUCUCCCAGGGCUUUGUCACAUUAGUGUCACCAGAACAAGCCAAAUUCAUCAAACACUUUAAAGACAAAUCCCUCCGGAUCCUGCUGGUGGAUGGUGACCUAACGGAGCAGUAUCGUCACUUAGGUUUUAACAGACCACAUAACGUAAGGACCAUAUUGGAGCAUCCUAACCUAGAGGGAGGCAGAGCAGGAGACACAUGGCUAAGCAGAAUGUUAGAUAUUCUUGUGAGCUUUGAAGUAAACCUAGUUUUGGUCAAAGGAAGCGUGUGCAAAAACUUACUGGACAGAUGCACCGCAAGCAGGAUACUGGUAAUCGGUCCUGUGCCUCGGGAUGUGUUGUGUGCCUUUGGGGAGGUCACUGGUGCCCAGCCAGUGACGUAUCUGAGCCAGCUGAACCCUUCCUGUGCUGGGAACGGGGCCCAGGUGGAGCUGUGGGAGGCCAGCGAUGGGCGUGCGAUGGAUCUGGGUGAGCUUGUGCCAGUCCGGAUCAACGUGCGAGGCAUCCCCCUGCUCACGGCCGUGCUCACCACUGCCGUGGCUUCCAAGGUGCAGCUCCUUGAGGACCAGUUCUGGACUUCAGUGUGUCGACUCCACCAUGCUUUAAAAGAUGGGAAGGUUUUUCCUGGGGGUGGUGCAGUGGAGCUCAUGUGCCUCAGCCACAUCCAGGUGCUCACAGAGCAGCCUGUGCGACCACCAAAGGCUGGGAAAGAGUUUCCCAGUCCUUGGCUGGCAGCACCUGUGGCAGAGUAUAAAUCCCUUGUGCUCCAAGCACUAGCAAGUGGCUGGAAGAGGUACCUUUCUGUGGUCAUGUGUAACAUGGCAAAGGCUCCGUCGGAGUUGGAAGCACGUGCAUUAGUGGAUCAUCACCUCAGGAAAGCAGUGGAUUGUGGCUCUCCCUCAGCAUAUAUACUGGAAUUGUUUAGAAGAGGUGAUGUGCUUGGGGGUGGCUCUGGUCUCUUUGCUGACCAUGGCGAGGGUUUAAAGGUUUAUGAUAACGUUGCAGCCAAGACAGAGGCGUGGAGGAGAGCCCUGGACUUGGUGCUGCUGGUGCUUCAGUCUGAUGUCGAAAUUAUCACAGGCCCCAGAAGGAAUGAGCUGUUGAACUCGCCUGUGUCGAGUGAAUUUAUGUUCUUAUAGGACUUUGCAGUCCCUGAGUCAGCGGGAGAAGUCCAGGUUCAACUUACAUGUCCUCAUAAUUAAUAAAGCAAACACUGAGAUGUGAUUAUGACUUUAGAGCGUUACAGCAGAAAUCAGAAUGAGAGACAGUCACAAGGUAAUUUCUUAUUUCUAGAAAUGGGAAUUAAAUAACAAAAAUCAGUUAUGAGCUUACCUCUAACCCCAGCUUACUAAUAUUGUCUGUAUAGGUGUCUCCUUCUAAAGAAAGGUAGGGACUUCUUACAUGACAUUGGUGUGCUUGUGUUAAAUUAAAGGAUAUAUAUAAUGUAAUUAAUUGGGAAUUAAUACCUUGUUCUUAAUUUCUGUACACUGCAAGCAUAAGAGUUAAACUUGAUUGUUACAUUUUACACUAAGAGUUCAUAUUAAUAGAUUCUAUUUUUGUAUAUUUAUAUGGUCCAUACAUCUCUUAUUUUCCAAUAUAUAACCUUUGGAAUUUCUUUGGAUUUGACAAAUUCAUGCUGAAUCCUUCCUUUUGGUAUUACAGACUGGGUGUAUCUCCACAAAAUUUUCAAUUUUACAUCACAAACUGGAUUUUUGGGUUGUUUCCUUGGAGUCUUUCAGUUGUCUUUGUAGAGAGGAAAAUGGUCUAUGUUUUAGGUGUUGGCUAAAAACUGUAAACAGGUCUAUCAUGACUGAGGCAAGGCAUUUUUACUGUGUUACAGCACUUAUAAUUUGGAAGCAGAGCCCUGAAGAACUGGCACUUCAUUGCAAGAAAGAGAUAAUGUUACUCCGAGAACUAAUGUCCACAGGGAUGAUUUCAGCACAGUUGAAGGGAGAGAACAGCUCACGUAUGUGCACAAACUAGAGACUGGGUUUGAUACUGAAUGGUGGAAGGAAGAAAAGAACACAUUUCUCUAUUUUGACUUCCUACCUGUUGAUUCUGCUGGUAAUGUCCAUUUCUUUAGGUAUUUGAAAAACACCCCUAGUGGUGGCUUGAGCUGCAUUUCAGUGAUGGUUUUCUGUGAGUGCUGGGAUUCAGUUCGCUGCAUUAUGUUCCUGAAAACUUUGUAGGGACAAGGAUGGUUUGGGACAGAAAUGCUUCCCUGAGUGGAGGGAAGUAAUAAUUCCCCAACUUCUCCUUCCACAUCAAGCCCCCGAUGAUCCUUGGGGAGUGGCUUUUUGUCACAUUUAAUCCAAGCCUGGGCUCCCCAGCACCAUCCCCAGCAGCCGUGUGUUCCCAUGGUGAGCCAUGUUUGGGAGGAAUCCUUGAGUGCUUUUCAGAGGGGUGGAAAGAAGGGCUGGGCCAGGAUCAUGCACAGAUGGUGAAAGAGCUCCUGGGAAGGGGGCGGGGGGGAACCGAGGCCUGUAUUUUGUUUCCCUGCCUAGCAGAGAUUCAAAACAAAGAACUGUUUAGAUGAAAAGGAAUUCUUUCCUUGGGGACCAAGUGCUACUCCAAACAAUAGGAUUAUUUUUUCAUUAAUGCAAGAGUAGUAAAGAUAGCAUGCAGUUUUUAUUUAGAAGUAAUGGGAAGACCGGCCCCUGACUGUCUUUUAUUCCAGCUCAAGUCAGUAGUAUGGGGGUUAGUGUUGUUCACAACUUUUGUCUGCUGUGUUGUGAGACCAAAUAUUUAACCAGUAUUGCAGAUUUGGAGAGGUGACUAAAAAUAACACGGUUGGUGAACUUAUUUGUUCCCAAGGUGUGAUCUGAGUCACUGCUUUCACUGACUAAACUUCAAAACAAAACAAAACCAAACAACAUAACCCCCCUAUUUGUUCAUACUGGAGAACCAGAAGAACUCCAGAGGAAUACCUGUCUAUUAUUAGUAAAUCCUAAUUUAUUUUUUUUUUAAGAACAGCAAUCCCUCCAGUAAACUGAAAGGAAUUUUGCCUUGUUUUGGGUAUUAAUUCCUGUAUUCCACUUGCUGCUCCCUGCAUUUGCAGUUCUGUCUGUGGGCUCCAGCUCAAAGAUCCGCCUAUACCAUGCACAUACUGUUUUAGGGGAAGUGAACACAAUUCCAUGUGCAAAAUUCCAUAUCAGUAUAAUGUCUUUGAUUCCCUACAGUAAGGAAAAUUAGACUAGUACCUCUGCAGCAAUACUAAUAUAUUGAUUAGAUCAGUUUAAUUAACUGGCUUAGUCCUCCUAUGUGUCUUUAUUCCAGUUCCCUGAGUAUGCCUUGCUCAAGGUAAAGGGUCAGUUAGUGUUCAGAACUUCACUUCUCACUCUCUUCAUCUCUCAGUUUAUGUAAACACUGUUUGAAUAACCAUCCCAAUUGUGUCAUCCAAAUCCUGGUUCAGGGGUACUUGCUUUCUGGAGCUGUUUAGCUGAGUGCUGCCAGAGGCCAGGAAACUCUGAUAUAAUUGGCAAUAAGAGAGCUUUACUGGAAAGGAAGCCUAAAUGUAUCUUUGUUUAUCUGAAGUACCGAGCAGUUAACUUGAAAAAUGUUUUUAUGUGUGACCCUGGCUAUGCAGUUAUUCUGUUUGACAUCCCAAAUACAAGAGCAGUGCUGUAGAUAGGCUCUACAGAAUUGCCAGAUGUCCGGUCAGUAAUUGCUGUACAUGGGGUGGGUUACUGUGGGUAGUAUGGGAAUGACUCUCAAAUCUCAGCUCCAGUGAUGGAUGCUCAGGAAUGUUUUCCAACAGAACUUGAGGAAGACCUCCAGCCUCCCAGAUUCCACUCACAACCAUUCAUAACACCAGUGAAACUGUGGAAGAAGAGAGGCUUUUCAAGGCCAGAAGAAACUGGAGGAAAUCCAGUGUCUCUUGUUUGUUUGAGUCUCAUUAUUAAACACACUUAUUAAACUGCUGAAGAAAGGUCUUCCAGAAAUACAGGAGCUAAUUUAAAAGUAUGUGACUUGUCUGUGCCAAGGGGUGCUGUUUGAAUUAGCUGUGUUUGCUCACCUGUAAAACAGGACUGCAGACUGCCCUACAACAUGACACUUGGCAUUUACCGCUCGGCCAUGAUGAGAGGAGCCAUUGUACAAAUAGGAUGUUCCAUUCCCUGCCCUCCCUCAAACACUUGUGUCCAUCUCAGAUAACAAGCUGAAAUAGGGUUUGUUAUGAAUUGGAUUUUCUUUUAAAAGGCCAGUCAAGCUGUUUUUGUUCUGGUUUAUGUGUUGCUAUGAGCCAUUACCACACAUUCAGUUCUUCAGUGAGAAUUCACAGAUGCUUUUGCUGCUGCGCAUGUGUGGCGAGAUGUUAUUUUGCUGAUAUGUUGUUCUCAGGAGACCGAAGGGGAAGGGGAAAUCAUACUUUGGUUAUGAAUUAAUACAGGAACCAAUCCCUUUUUUCAUUAAAAACAUCAGUGGAGUUUCUGUGGCUUUGGGGAGUUGGUCCCUAAGAAACAGAUUAUUGCAAAACCAUGAUCAUCCUUCCUCCCUCUUCUGAAUCCUGCUACAGGGCGAAUUUCUGAUCAUUUCUUAGUGGCAAGAAAUGUAAAAUUGAGGACUGCUGCCACUCUUUCUCAGAUGAACCUCUAAUAAACUCAAAUAGCAACAACAAUUGGUUAAUGAUAAGAUGGAAAACACUUCCUUCAGAGAUGCAGUAGGUUGAGUCGUGCUUUACACUGAAGAAUUUGAUAAGGAUUAAGAGCCCAUCAUCUCUAGGUUAAAGGAUGUCUCCUGCAGGAAAUGGCACGUAGGGAGAAUGAUCAGCUUUGGAAACAGUCAUAUCCAUUCUGUUUCUAAUUUUUAAAACUGCAAACUCUUUGGAGAAGAAACUCUUCACUCGGUUCAUAUAGUA